ensembl:misc_RNA Y_RNA Y RNA
GGCUGGUCUGAAGGUAGUGAGUUAUCUCAAUUGGUUGUUCACAGUCAGUUAUAGGUUGAACUUCUUGUUCUACUCUUUUCCACAUUCUCACUACUACACUUGACUAGUUUUAA